CCGAGCCGCUGCCCAGCCGUGCCUCAUAAACCUCCUCACUCCCCUCCCAGAUCGCUCCGCCCCCCACCCCCGUCGCUGAAGUAGGAACUAGUUCCGGCUCUUCGCUCUCCUGCCUACAAACCCUGCCCCCAUCUCGAAUCUGUAGCCGCACUGUCCCCAGGCUCCCUCGGAGGAAAGCGUCGGACACGGGAGAGCGGGAGGGUUCCUCUUGGGGGAACGGCGGGAGCAAGGGCGAGCAUGGCGCUACUUUUCCUGGCGGAGGAACAUUUAGAAAAGUAUCUGUGGCGAUGAACAAGGGACGGCGGGCGCUGAUUGGCGGGUUCGUACCUGCAAUGCGUCACUUCGGACAUGCACAGUCGGGGCUAGAAGCGACGCCCUCCCGCUGCACCGGCUGGGGGCGGGGCUUGGCGCCUACAUUGGCUCCAGAGCGGGGUUUGGGUCGGUCGGGGCCCAGGCAGAGCGGGGCCGGCUGGGCCCUUAGUGACUGCAUUGCGGCUCCGUCCCCGCCUCCCGGCGCAGUUGCUAUGGCAGGAGAACUCCCCGCUCCGCCCCGCCCGGAGAGUCAGGCUGUAGCUGGUUGGGCAGGGUGAGUCAGGCCCACCGCUCUCUUCUCCCACGCAGGCCUCGCCUGUGCAUUGGACUUCGGCUGAUCUAGAUACCUCGCCCAGGGCUGUGAGAAGUAUCAUGCCCUGUGCCGUGUCCUUAGGUCGACCUAGCCCGUGGCAGCUGCAGCCAGCACCUCUCCAAGGGCGUGGAUUUGCUGCCAGGGGAAGACCUCUCGGUCUGUAGCAAGUGGCUACGCUCCCGUGUCGUCGCUGCAGCUGUGCUGGUGGGAAUUGCAGAGAGCGAGUCUUGCAGUUACCUGUCUCCUGCCCCCUUGAGGCCCUGCUGUCCCCCUGGAAAUGGGAUGUACUUCAGAGGGGUCUCGGAUGACCAACCUAUCAACUAAAAACCUGUGACUUUUUCCCUCUGAACAAUUAGAAUAAAUCCCCAGGCCUGCCAAAUUCUCA